GACGAACGCUGGCGGCGUGCCUAAUACAUGCAAGUCGAACGCAGUGGGGACGGGUGAGUAACACGUGGGUAACCUCCCAUCAGAGGGGAUAACACUUGGAAACAGGUGCUAAACCGAUACUGAUGGAUGGACCCGGGUGGCAUUAGCUAGUGGGUGAGGUAACGGCCCACCAAGGCCACGAUGCAUAGCCGGCCUGAGAGGGUGAUCGGCCACACUGGGACUGAGACACGGCCCAGACUCCUACGGGAGGCAGCAGUGGGGAAGAUUGGGCAAUGGGCGAAAGUCUGAUCGAGCAAUGCCGCGUGUAUGAAGAAGGUUUUCGGAUCGUAAAGCUCUGUUGUUAGGGAAGCGGUAUCUAACCAGAAAGCCACGGCUAACUACGUGCCAGCAGCCGCGGUAAUUC
rnacentral:rRNA from 1 species